UAUAGGAGUAGGAGCCUAUUGGGCAGAUGCCUUCUCGCUUCAACAUGGUUUGAGUGGGCUAUGCCCAGGCAUGCUUCUCAAAUUCUUUUACCUAUUAUUUUCUGCUAACUCAGCUUUAUCCCAUUGAUCUUUCAUGAGAUAAAGGAACAUCUGAUUCAGCCUUUUCCUGUUCUCACCUUGUUCUUAAUGUCUAUGGUGCAAAUAUUGGCACUAGAUUAAUAUGUCUUCUGAGUCAGAUUUCCCUGCUCUCAAUUACAUGGUCUUUCCUCUCCUAGCUUUAUUUACUCACCAGUAAAAGAUACUCAACAUAGUUGGGGUACAAGUAAAUAGUUUAGUAUAUAUGAAGAACCUAACAUAUUGUAAAGAUUCUACAAAGCAUAUGUAAUUUUGUUAUACUGCCUAUAUCAUUACAAGGGACUGAUACUGGUAUGACUGGGAAACUCUGCUGGAGUCCAGCUCCAGCGGGUUCAGGUCCUGAGAGGAGGUGUGGAGUCGGCAAUGAGAGAAUGAAACAGACACUGAGUGGAGGGUCGGCAGCUCAGCUUCUCUGUCUGAGUUAUACCAAAAUUACUUUACUUAUAUAUGUUUUGAUUACACAAAGCUUUGGUAAGCACGUGGGUCCAUACACAGUGUGUUUUCAUACAGAGUUAAAGAAAAGCUGAUAUCAUCUAAAAAAGUAUUUUAGACCACCCAGUUCUAAAUACUCCUCCGUUUGCUACGUGAACUCUUGCUAACUUAUCAGAUUUACAUUUGAGGAACAAGAAGCACUUUACAAAGGUCAGACUACGUCAUUAGGCCAAGUUUCAUCAGAUCUCAUUGUUGUGUGCCCUGCAGGUGUUGGCCAAGGGUGACCAGGUGCCAGACUGUGGGGCGCCUUAUUUUUUCCUUUCUUUUGUUCAUCUUUCUUUAACUCCUCUCAUAAGCAGUAUUUGUCAUAUGGCAGGGGUAAAUCUAAUCUGGGUAAACGUUGUAUGGAAUUUGUUCCUUUUGGUGGGCAUCAUAAUGUUCCACCUGUAAGCUACAUUGGGAGGGGGCUCAGCCGUUGGGACAGGCCCAUACUUUCCUUUAUUUUCUAUGGACCGAGAUCCCUGUUUUGCUGCAAAUAGUUGUGGGCUUAAAGCAGUCAGGGCCUCACCAUUUGUCCGAGUCUUGGAAGUACCCAGCAUUUCCAAGAGCCCUAACUGCGUCAUGAAUUUGUGGAUGUCCCAGUUUACCUUUGUGCAGUCAGGGCUUAUGGAUGUCACGUCCCCACUACUCAUGGAGGCAUGAGUGAGGGGCUUUUCUGUAAAUGGAUUUACAGCUUCUUCCUGUAAUCCCGGCCUAGUAACCAUCUCCGGAGUACUGACUUUUAUCCUUUCAGUGAUCUCCCGGGGAGUACAGCACCGAGGGAAUCACUGCCGUGGAAAGCAAAAGCAAAGGACAGAGUCGGGGUUUUAGCCACAGCCUCGGUUUCACCGGAGCUGUGUCAAGCAGCGAGAUUGUGACCAUGGCCUGCGCCAAAACUCUACAUCUACUGUGUAAUCUCGAUUCUUACCCCUUUUCAGUAAGCAGAAGUCUAAGAACUAGCUAAACCUUGUGCAAAAAUACUACGAGCUCUUCCCAGAAAGGAAGAAUAAAGGGAAUCGUUCCUGUGCAUGGGAAAGAGGACGAGAGGAAGACAGACACCAAUUUCAGUAUGUGUAACUCCAUCUGUGACGAUUCGAGAUAAAGAAUGUUUGAUAUCUCUCUCUCAUCUACAUGAGUAGAUUCCCCAGUAGAAGUUGAGCUUCAUAAGGUAGAAUCCAUCAUGCAUCCCAUUUACGGCUACUUUGUAGGCUACGUGAUGGUGGAAUGGUCCCUGAAGUAUGAGACACAUUGUGAAACCAGAAACCUUCUCUGUUCCUAAGUGACAAUGAUAUUUCGUUGAAUAUGAAACGUGAGAAAUGCUUCGGCACUUAGCGUGAGUCUCCUCUGUGGACUCAAGGCCGUGCAGUCUCUGAUCCUUGUGAUACCUUCUGAUCCCUGCACAAAAGCGCCAGUGGGGAGCGGUGCAGAAGGUGGCACUCAGUCGUGGCCGGCCUGUGUCUCAGGGUGACGCCAGAGCCCUGGAACUGCCUCACAGGACAGGUCACCUGCCAGGGACGCCCUGCAGAGUCGGCCCCUGCCCCUCCAAGAAGCCCACCUGCUCAAGUUACCUUUCCACUCCUUCCCCCAACACAAGCAGUGAACCAAGGACUGGAAGGAGAACCCAGGACCCAGACACAGGACCCCAUGCUGUGGUACAGAGUGGCAGAUGUCCGGUUUGGCAAACUCCCCUACCCAGCUGCUGCCCUUUCUCUCUUGUAGAGUGCGCAUACUACCUGAAAUCCCCUGUUCAUCGCUUUCCUGCCAGCUGCAACUCCGGUACCUUCCCCAGGCCCUGUCAUCUACGACUCAUCUAAGCCCACCCUCUUACUGCCUUCCAUCUCUGGCCUCUGCUCUGAACCAGGCCCAGCGGCCCGGUGGCCCGGCGAGGGGAAAUGUUGCCCCUGGGAAUGCAAACUCCACACCUUGGCUUCCUGCACAUUACCAUGCGGUGGCCUUCUUGCUCCUGACUUUUCUCUUUCCUUUUCUGAGCUGCCCUUUUCACCCUGUCUCUGCAUACCCAAAUUUUAUCCAUUUUUCAGAAGCAUCUCAAGUACCACAUUCCUCAUGAUACUGUCAUUGCUUCUCCCCCUGAAGGAGGCCUGCUGGGGUGGGGGUGUUUUGCAUCACAUAGUAAGUCACAUGGUGGCCUCAGGUGGUCACCUUUGGCUCCUCUUAAAUAUAUAAAUCCCCCAGUCUCAGUUUACUUAGCCUAUGAAUGCCCCUUGGUUUAUGAAGUUCUCAGAGAAUGUUGGUAGAUUCGAGGAAUAUGAAUAAAUAUAUUUCAUUAGCUAAAGUUCAGUUCACGAACUCAGUUCUCUCCAUGAUUCUGCUUCCAAACUAAACUGGAGGAGAACCAAAUCAAAUUUCUCCGUAAGGCCAACAUUGAAUCUAAUCAUUGAAUUUGAUUCAGUAACCAAAAUAUAUAGAUAGAUAAUACAAACAGGCAGACAGAAGAAAAUAGAAACUUGUUUUUUCUUCAUAACAGAAAAAUAUCAGAUUGAAACAAUGUCAGGAAAGUAUUUAAAAGAUUAAUUGUGCAUUUUAUAUGUAUGGCUACUUCCUUGAUGACUGCAGUGCUUAAUAGAAAACAUAUAAUCAGAAAGCCAGAGAUUUAUUUAUAAUUUUAUGUUUGUUACUGUGCUAUCCCAAGUGUUCAUGGGUAAUUCUUCAUUUUUCUUAGUUUUUUUCCUUCCCUUUAAUAUGAGAGGGCUGAACUACUUAAGCCAAAUAUAAGUAGCUGUAUGAUUAUAUCAUCCUGUGAUUAAGCUUUGUGGCUUAAGCAGGGCUACACCUUCUGGUUUUAGGCUACUCUUGAUUAGUUUUACUAAACAGAAGUUCUCAGCUUUAACUUCCCUCAGGGAUUCUCACACACACACAAAAAGUAGCUCAAGAUUCUUGGACAGUUUAUCUAAGAAACAAAUGCAUUAACUUUCCUAAUAUCAUUCAUGUUGAAUCAUUUAACAGAAGUUGUUUUAGAUAUAUGUUAAAUCUAGCUUAUAUCUUUUUUUUUUUUUGAUCCCCUUGUAGUAGGGAGUGGAUUCAGGUCCCAUACAUGCUAGCCGAGUGCUCUAACCCUAAGCUACAUCUCCAGCAAACUUGGGUCUUCUUGCUUAACACUGUGACCGAUGUUUGGCCAUUAUGGUAUUGUGCCUGAAAAGUAAGAGACAAUUCUGAGCUUCUCUGAGCUUUAAGAUGUCCAUUCCUAGGGCUACAAUCUUGAAUAAGUAACUCUAAUGAAAGUAGCGUGUUUGAUGCAAGUUCUUUGUUUUGCUCCAUUUGAACAUUGAAAGGUGAAUAUGAAUAUAAUGAUUAUGAAUA